UACGGAGGGAGCUAGCGUUAUUCGGAAAUACUGGGCGUAAAGCGCGCGUAGGCGGUAUCAUAAGUCAGAGGUGAAAUCCCAGGGCUCAACCUUGGAACUGCCUUUGAAACUGUGGCACUAGAAUCUUGGAGAGGUCAGUGGAAUUCCGAGUGUAGAGGUGAAAUUCGUAGAUAUUCGGAAGAACACCAGUGGCGAAGGCGACUGACUGGACAAGUAUUGACGCUGAGGUGCGAAAGCGUGGGGAGCAAACAGG
rnacentral:rRNA from 1 species